rnacentral:miRNA from 1 species
AGAAUGAGAGGAGUUGAUGAGAGGAAUGAGUAACAAAAGUGAAAACAAAAAUUAAAAACUGAAAUCUAUUUCAAAUUGUUUUCACUUUUAUUACUCAUUCCUCUCAUCCUCACUUUUAUUUUCC